AUAAUCUUAAAUAUUGUUACUCGUAUAUACUCGGUAAUAUGGUCUGAGUGUCUCUACCUAGUUCCCACCUGAAAGAACUGGACUACGAGUUAAAGUAUUCGGCUG
rnacentral:ncRNA from 1 species